GAUGAACGCUGGCGGCGUGCCUAAUACAUGCAAGUCGAACGCAUUGAGAGAAGUGCUUGCACUUUUCAAUUUGAGUGGCGAACGGGUGAGUAACACGUGGGCAACCUACCUGAUAGCGGGGGAUAACGAGUGGAAACAUUCGCUAAUACCGCAUAACAAUAGAGAAGGCAUCUUCUUUAUUUAAAAGGCGCUUUCAAGCGUCACUAUCAGAUGGGUCCGCGGUGCAGUAGUUAGUUGGUGGGGUGAAGGACUACCAAGACGAUGAUGCAUAGCAGAGUUGGGAGACUGAUCGGCCGCAGUGGAACUGAGACACGGCCCAAACUCCUACGUGAGGCUGCAGUAGGGAAUCUUCCACAAUGGACGAAAGUCUGAUGGAGCAACGCCGCGUGUGUGAUGAAGGCGUUCGGGUCGUAAAGCACUGUUGUAUGGGAAGAAAUGCUAGGCUAGGAAAUGAGCUUAGUUUGACGGUACCAUACCAGAAAGGGACGGCUAAAUACGUGCCAGCCGCCGCCGUAA
rnacentral:rRNA from 1 species